AGCGAACGCUGGCGGCAGGCUUAACACAUGCAAGUCGAACGCCCCGCAAGGGGAGUGGCAGACGGGUGAGUAACACGUGGGAACGUACCCUUUGGUUCGGAAUAACUUGGGGAAACUCAAGCUAAUACCGGAUAAGCCCUUAUGGGGGAAAGGUUUACUGCCGAAGGAUCGGCCCGCGUCUGAUUAGCUAGUUGGUGAGGUAACGGCUCACCAAGGCGACGAUCAGUAGCUGGUCUGAGAGGAUGAUCAGCCACACUGGGACUGAGACACGGCCCAGACUCCUACGGGAGGCAGCAGUGGGGAAUAUUGGACAAUGGGGGCAACCCUGAUCCAGCCAUGCCGCGUGAGUGAUGAAGGCCUUAGGGUUGUAAAGCUCUUUUACCCGGGACGAUAAUGACUGUACCGGGAGAAUAAGCCCCGGCUAACUUCGUGCCAGCAGCCGCGGUAA
rnacentral:rRNA from 1 species